GGGAUAACAGUUGGAAACAGCUGCUAAUACCGGAUACGACCCUGGCGGGCAUCUGCUGGGGUGGAAAGCUCCGACGGUCAAGGAUGGGCUCGCGGCCUAUCAGCUUGUUGGUGAGGUGACGGCUCACCAAGGCGACGACGGGUAGCCGGCCUGAGAGGGCGACCGGCCACACUGGGACUGAGAUACGGCCCAGACUCCUACGGGAGGCAGCAGUGGGGAAUAUUGCACAAUGGGCGAAAGCUGAUGCAGCAACGCCGCGUGCGGGAUGACGGCCUUCGGGUUGUAAACCGCUUUCAGCAGGGACGAAGGGUUUCUGACGGUACCUGCAGAAGAAGCACCGGCUAACUACGUGCCAGCAGCCGCGGUGAUACGUAGGGUGCGAGCGUUGUCCGGAAUUAUUGGGCGUAAAGAGCUUGUAGGCGGUUCGUUGCGUCGGAAGUGAAAACUCAGGGCUUAACCCUGAGCCUGCUUUCGAUACGGGCGGACUUGAGGGAUGUAGGGGAGAACGGAAUUCCUGGUGGAGCGGUGGAAUGCGCAGAUAUCAGGAGGAACACCAGUGGCGAAGGCGGUUCUCUGGACAUUUCCUGACGCUGAGAAGCGAAAGCUUGGGGAGCAAACAGGCUUAGAUACCCUGGUAGUCCACGCCGUAAACGGUGGGCACUAGGUGUGGGAUCCAUUCCACGGAUUCCGUGCCGAACUAACGCAUUAAGUGCCCCGCCUGGGGAGUACGGCCGCAAGGCUAAAACUCAAAGGAAUUGACGGGGGCCCGCACAAGCGGCGGAGCAUGCGGAUUAAUUCGAUGCAACGCGAAGAACCUUACCUGGGUUUGACAUAUGCCGGAAACAUCUAGAGAUAGGUGCCCCGCAAGGUCGGUAUACAGGUGGUGCAUGGCUGUCGUCAGCUCGUGUCGUGAGAUGUUGGGUUAAGUCCCGCAACGAGCGCAACCCUCGUUCUAUGUUGCCAGCGGUUCGGCCGGGAACUCAUAGAAGACUGCCGGGGUCAACUCGGAGGAAGGUGGGGAUGACGUCAAGUCAUCAUGCCCCUUAUGUCCAGGGCUUCACGCAUGCUACAAUGGCUGGUACAAAGGGCUGCAAUACCGCAAGGUGGAGCGAAUCCCAUAAAGCCAGUCUCAGUUCGGAUUGGGGUCUGCAACUCGACCCCAUGAAGUCGGAGUCGCUAGUAAUCGCAGAUCAGCAACGCUGCGGUGAAUACGUUCCCGGG
rnacentral:rRNA from 1 species